CUUCUCCGUCUCUCCUCUCUCCAACUCUCCAGCGCGGCAGCGCCCGCACCGCACCUCAAAUCGGGGAGAGAGGAAGGCAGGACAAGGAGUCGAAGUCUAGGCGCAGGUGGAAGUGGAAAGGAUGGCCUCACGGAUGUCUGUGGAUGCUGAGAUAAAGGCGCUGCUGAACGGGCCGGUGCUGCCCUGCAGCAAGCCCCACCAGCUCGUCCCUCUGGGAGACGAUCCGGUGGUCGCCAUCGCUUCGGUCUGAAAGAAAAAUCAGAGGCUUGGUAGGCUGAAUUGGAGCCACGGAAGCUUCCUCACCUCCAGUAGGUGGACUAGGCAUCGUGGAGCUGUCGGGGAAGCAGCACUGGUCAGGGAUGCAGCGCCUAUCGGUAUCACUGAAGGCGAGGAAGAUGUUGGCGACCCCGACUCUUGUGCAGCAGCAGCGGACGCAGACAGAUCAUCUCCCGCACUGGUUUCAGCUUCUAUAUCACCUGGUACAUCAUUUUUUGUGCUGUUUUCUGCAGGUGCUUCAUCAAUUUGGUAUGUAAUAUUAUGCAAAUCAGAAACGUGAUCAUCUAUAUGUUCUCCCCCAUGAUUAGUGAUCGGAUUUAGCAAACUUUGAGGGAGAAGGGAAAUAUCCGAACGAAGACGAGCACCGGCAUUAGAGUCGAGUUUGGAGAAGGGAAAAACUGUUUCAUCAAACGUGACAUCACAUGAGAUAUACACUGAGCCAGAGGAGAUCUCAAGGCAUUUGAAUCCCUUAUGAAGAUUACUAAACCCCGGAAAUACACAUUGUUUGGACCGGAAUUCAAGUUUGUGCUUGUUGCAGGGACGGAGGUUCAGCCAACGGGCACAACCAAACAAACGCAAGGACGAAUAAUCAGGUUUUUGGCCAAACAAGAGUUCUAAGGGAGUAGUAAAUUGAAUUACUUUACUAGAUGUUCGAUUUAUGAGAUAGGCAGCGGUAUGAAAAGCUUCAUCCUAGAAUUUUAAUGGCAUAUAAGCAUAGGCUAAGAGAGA